GUAAGGCCCUUCGGGGUACUCGAGUGGCGAACGGGUGAGUAACACGUGGGUGAUCUGCCCUGCACUUUGGGAUAAGCCUGGGAAACUGGGUCUAAUACCGAAUAUGACCAUGCGCCUCCUGGUGUGUGGUGGAAAGCUUUUGCGGUGUGGGAUGGGCCCGCGGCCUAUCAGCUUGUUGGUGGGGUAAUGGCCUACCAAGGCGACGACGGGUAGCCGGCCUGAGAGGGUGACCGGCCACACUGGGACUGAGAUACGGCCCAGACUCCUACGGGAGGCAGCAGUGGGGAAUAUUGCACAAUGGGCGCAAGCCUGAUGCAGCGACGCCGCGUGAGGGAUGACGGCCUUCGGGUUGUAAACCUCUUUCAGCACAGACGAAGCGCAAGUGACGGUAUGUGCAGAAGAAGGACCGGCCAACUACGUGCCAGCAGCCGCGGUAAUACGUAGGGUCCGAGCGUUGUCCGGAAUUACUGGGCGUAAAGAGCUCGUAGGUGGUUUGUCGCGUUGUUCGUGAAAACUCACAGCUUAACUGUGGGCGUGCGGGCGAUACGGGCAGACUUGAGUACUGCAGGGGAGACUGGAAUUCCUGGUGUAGCGGUGGAAUGCGCAGAUAUCAGGAGGAACACCGGUGGCGAAGGCGGGUCUCUGGGCAGUAACUGACGCUGAGGAGCGAAAGCGUGGGGAGCGAACAGGAUUAGAUACCCUNNNNNNCCACGCCGUAAACGGUGGGUACUAGGUGUGGGUUUNNNNNNUUGGGAUCCGUGCCGUAGCUAACGCAUUAAG
rnacentral:rRNA from 1 species